AGAGCAUUGAGAGGACCUUUCUCUAGUACGAGAGGACCGGGAAGACGCACCUCUGGUGUACCAGUUAUCGUGCCCACGGUAAACGCUGGGUAGCCAAGUGCGGAGCGGAUAACUGCUGAAAGCAUCUAAGUAGUAAGUCUACCCCAAGAUGAGUGCUCU
rnacentral:rRNA from 1 species